rnacentral:rRNA from 1 species
GAUGAACGCUGGCGGCGUGCCUAAUACAUGCAAGUCGAGCGAACGGACGAGAAGCUUGCUUCUCUGAUGUUAGCGGCGGACGGGUGAGUAACACGUGGAUAACCUACCUAUAAGACUGGGAUAACUUCGGGAAACCGGAGCUAAUACCGGAUAAUAUUUUGAACCGCAUGGUUCAAAAGUGAAAGACGGUCUUGCUGUCACUUAUAGAUGGAUCCGCGCUGCAUUAGCUAGUUGGUAAGGUAACGGCUUACCAAGGCAACGAUGCAUAGCCGACCUGAGAGGAGGAUCAGCCACACUGGAACUGAGACACGGUCCAGACUCCUACGGGAGGGAGCAGGGGGGAAUAUUGGACAAUGGUCGCAAGCCUAAUCCUGCAAUACCGCGUGAAUGAAGAAGGACGUCGGAUUGUAAAGCCCUUUUGUUGUGAAAGAAAAGCAGCAGGUUAAUACCCCGCUGCUCUCACGGUACCCAAAGAAUAAGCACCGGCGAACUUCGUG